AUUGAACGCUGGCGGCAGGCUUAACACAUGCAAGUCGAACGAGUGGCGGACGGGUGAGUAAUGCCUGGGAAUCUAGCUGAUGGAGGGGGAUAACUACGGGAAACUGUAGCUAAUACCGCGUACCAUAGGAUGAGCCCAGGUGGGAUUAGUUAGUUGGUGGGGUAAAGGCUCACCAAGCCGACGAUCUCUAGCUGGUCUGAGAGGAUGACCAGCCGCACUGGAACUGAGACACGGCCCAGACUCCGACGGGAGGCAGCAGUGGGGAAUAUUGCGCAAUGGGGGCAACCCUGACGCAGCCAUGCCGCGUGAAUGAAGAAGGCCUUCGGGUUGUAAAGUUCUUUCGGUGGCGAGGCGUUAGCUGCAGAAGAAGCACCGGCUAACUCCGUGCCAGCAGCCGCGGUAAUAC
rnacentral:rRNA from 1 species